rfam:Angiostrongylus cantonensis strain Taiwan genome assembly, scaffold: ACAC_scaffold0000694
CUGAUUGAUUCUGUCAGCGCUAUAUGCUCAGUUAAAAGAUUAAGCCAUGCAUGAGGAGUUCAGCUUUAAGUGAAACUGCGAACGGCUCAUUAGAGCAGAUGUGAUUUAUUCGGAAAAUCCUAUUGGAUAACUGCGGUAAUUCUGGAGCUAAUACAUGCGUAUAAACCCUGACUUUCGAAAGGGUGCAAUUAUUAGAGCAAAUCAAUCAUUUUCGGAUGUAGUUUGCUGACUCUGAAUAACGCAGCAUAUCGGCGGCUUGUUCGCCGAUAAUCCGAAAAAGUGUCUGCCCUAUCAACCUGAUGGUAGUCUAUUAGUCUACCAUGGUUAUUACGGGUAACGGAGAAUAAGGGUUCGACUCCGGAGAGGGAGCCUUAGAAACGGCUACCACAUCCAAGGAAGGCAGCAGGCGCGAAACUUAUCCAAUCUUGAAUAGAUGAGAUAGUGACUAAAAAUAAAAAGACCAUUCCUAUGGAACGGUUAUUUCAAUGAGUUGAUCAUAAACCUUUUUUCGAGUAUCCAGUGGAGGGCAAGUCUGGUGCCAGCAGCCGCGGUAAUUCCAGCUCCACUAGUGUAAAUC